GAGUUCGCAUAGUGAAACGUCGUGAUUUGAUAUUCCUCGGUGGUCUCCGGUUAGCAAAAAUUGUGUAGAAAUUAGUAUAGAAGAAACUGAGAAACGGCCUUUUCCCCUCAUUUCCAAUCAUUCAAGUUUGUAGUGUUAUUGUCGUACGUAUUGAGAAUUCGUACGUUAUAAACGUAAAGGAAACACCCAUUUCUUCGUUUCUCAUGAACUCCCUGCUCGUCGUACCCAAACCUCUAGUGGUAAGAUGGCGGUGCAGCUCGAUGGGGGGGGAAAGGACGACUUGAAAACACAAUUUGUAACGCGAGAAGGAACCUACAAACUUAUGACUCUCUCGGAGUAUUCCAGACCCAACAGAGUGGGCUACACAAACAGCCAAGGCAGUGCCUCAGUUCGUGUAUCUUUCGUUACAUUGCCAGAUCCAGCCGAUCCCACAGGAACCCAGGGGCUCGGCGACCGCAUGUGCUUCAAUUUCGGAAAAGAACUGUACAUCUACGUUUACCGAGGUGUCAAAAAGGCAGUGGAUUUGAACAAGCCGGUAGAUAAGAAGUUGUACAAAGGAACAAAUCCAACCUGUCAUAACUUCAAUCAAACAACUGCGACUGCUGACAGCGCACCAUUGCUCGUGGGAUUUUCUACAGGACAAAUUCAACUUAUAGAUCCAAUAAAGAAAGAACUUAGCAAACUCUACAAUGAAGAGAGACUGAUAGACAAGAGUAAGGUGACUUGCAUAAAAUGGGUACCAGGUUCAAGUAAUCUAUUCUUGGUAUCGCACAGUUCUGGUCAACUCUAUCUUUAUAACGAGGAGUUGCUUUGCGGAACUACGCCUCCUCAUUACCAACCAUUCAAAUCUGGAGAUGGCUACGCCAUUCACACAUGCAAGACAAAGUCUACGAGAAAUCCCUUAUACCGUUGGGUGAUCGGGGUGGAGGGCUGCUGCAUCAAUGAAUUUGCAUUCAGUCCAUGUGGGUCGAAUUUGGCUGUGGUAUCGCAAGAUGGAUUUCUACGAGUAUUCCAUUACGACACUAUGGAGCUCAUUGGAUCUGCCCGUAGUUACUUUGGAGGAUUCUUGUGUGUGUGUUGGUCACCAGAUGGAAGAUAUGUAGUCGUGGGUGGAGAAGAUGAUCUUGUGACAAUAUGGAGCUUCAACGAAAAGCGGGUAGUCGCGAGAGGCCAAGGGCACCACAGCUGGGUUAGCGUGGUUGCUUUUGAUCCAUUCACUACAUCUUAUGGCGAUCAUGAUCCCGAUUUCAGCGGAUCUGACGACGAGUCUAUGCCCCAUAACAAUCACAAUAACCAUUUUCACGAAAAACCAAGCAGAUUAUCCACAGUAUCUCAAGGUGUUCAUUCUAACAGAAAUUCGUGUGGUUCCGAACUUCGGGUAUCAGGAGGCACGUGCUACAGGCUUGGCAGCGUAUCACAGGACACGCAAUUGUGCCUGUGGGAUAUAACUGAAGAUGUAUUACGCCAGCCGGUGAGUGCAAAGCAAAGAACCUCGACAACUGGUUCUGGGACAUUUUCUUUCUCGGGAACGUUCACGAGUGGUAAUGGUGCGGCGUCAAAUCAUCACUAUUCCAACAACACGAAGCAUACUAAUUCAAACAACAUGAGUUCUAAAGAAAGCGCGAGUGGAAACAAUGAAAGUAGUAACAACAGUAUUACCACGAAUGCUGCAGUGUCUACUGUAAACUCACUGACCCAGAGGCUAGCAGGUCUCGGUUUUGGGGAAAGAAAAGGUGACAAUCAUAAAAGAAACUUUAGCCUAACAAUGCGCGGAAGUGGGGCAACAAGCAACAAUGCGUUACAAAACAAUAGUGGGGAAAAAUCUGGUAGCAAUUCAAAUUCUAGUAAUUCAAACAGUGUCGGGGUCAGUCUAAGUACAAAUAAAAAGUCAGGCUGCGCUAUGGACGAUCCAAUGAGAUUGAUAGGCACAGCUUGGUGUCCGCGUUUCGAUGAGUGCCCCGUUUUAGAACCACUGGUGUGCAAGAAACUAGCCCACGAAAGGCUAACUGAAUUAGUAUUUAGAGAAGACUGCUUUGUAACGGCAUGUCAGGAUGGAUACGUCUACACGUGGGCGAGGCCCGGUCACAUGGUAGGUCCACUCACGAUAAGCAACACCCUUCACAGGCCCCACCACCACGCAAAUGCAAAUAAUCCUCACACAACAACAAAUAAUUCAAUAAUGCGAUCAAACAAUGAUCUCUGAUGUAACAAAUUACCCUCCUCUCUUAUUAUUAUUGAGACUCAAUCAAGUGAAGUUUAUUAAUUGAUAAUUGAUUUAACUGUACAUAACAAAUAUAGUAAUUCAGGUUUAUACCUUAGAAGCCAAAAAUUAAUUGAAGAUCUGCAACCAUUUUAGAGAAUGACAUUGUGCAAAAAAAAAACCAUCGAUUUAAAUCAGUCAUCACUUAUGUCAUUUGAAAAUGCCAAGAAAGCUAACGAAUUGUUAUAGGACUUCUAUGAGAGCUAAAGUCCAGUUCAGUCCAUAUUGUCUGAUCAUUUUCAAAAUCAUGUCCAAAUGCGAAUUGCUAUGCCCCAAUAGCCGUUUCGAUAAAAAAUGAGGAAUAUUGAAAAUCAACCUAGGAGAAAUCUAUAUAGAAUAUAUUUAUGUCUGGUUUGCGUCUUCGAGAAUGAUAUUGUUUAUGCCCAAUAGAGGCAGGUCCCUCCUUUUGGUCCCUUGUCUCUCUUAUCCUCUCUCUAUAACAUUUCCCUAUUCUCCGCAAGCCCGUGUAAAGUGUUACUAGCUUAGCUUAGCCAAUCGUAGUAAAGCAAUUAAUUAAUUGAUUUAUUACGUAGUGAGACUAUUGACCCUAUAUUAAUAGCAGUAAUAAUAACAACAACAACAAUAUUAAUAAUAAUAAUGAUAAUAAUAUUAAUCACAAUAAAUCUGUGACAUUUAUUCCUCUGUUGGAUAUGAUACAAUGCCUUGUUGUAAAAUAAAGCAGAAAGUUGAAUGCAAAUUUAAAAAACGAAUGACGACAAGAAACGAAACACUGCUUGCUUCUUGCUUGAAAUUUGGUACACCCUGUAUUUGCUUAUUUUAAUUUCAUUAUUUAUUACCGUUGUGCUGCUUACUAUCAAAGUUCAAAAUGGUGAAACCAAUCGUAGAAAAGAUACUGAUAAUCGUUGGAUACUGAUAACCAGGUUUAAGUUGUCUGUUAGUGUUGUAACGAAAAAAACAGAAUUAAUACACUAUUUCGUGCAUUGCUUUUGGCUGCCCUAAGAGACUCGAUGCCGUCCUGAUUUGCGCAUGGCAGGGAUAGGACAAAUGACAACCGCACUACAUGUUACGAGCCUUUUGGAAGGUGGUGGCACUAUAGUAUAGCCUUGGAUGAAAAACAUCCGUUUGAAUGUUGACCAUGGAGAACCCAUCACCCUACUACUACAUCUUAUCGUCAGAGUUUUCCUGGGAUUUUGAUUAAUAUUACUACACAUCAUUCCAGUCGUUGUACUUGAUUUCAUAAUUAAAAUUUGCAUUCGUCAGAACUCCUACACAAAAUUGUCUGAAUCACAUUUCUGAGAUGUAAUGUAAUGAUGCGAAUCAGCAGAAGAGCAAAAUAAGAAGAACUUCCAGCUUGAUCUGUGCAGCCGAGUUUAUGAAUUGUUUUCUAAUGCCAAUUGUAUAGUCCUUAUUCAAGCCUUGGAAUAAUAGUUUUCAAAACCUUGAAAAGACUUUGGCUGCUCAAUAACUAUGCAAGCGUAAACAUAAAUGAUGGUUAGUAGCUUAAAUAUAUAUGCAGAUGAAUAAUAAUCCUACCAAUGCUCCCCAGUAUUAGAGAAAUUUAAUUACUUACAGAUACCACUACUGCGAGUAGUCAGUGGUAACUUAGUAAUUGAAUACAUCUCGAAUGAGUGCAGCUCGAAUAAAAUAGAUGAAUGAA